UACGAAGGGUGCAAGCGUUAAUCGGAAUUACUGGGCGUAAAGGGUGCGUAGGCGGUUGUUUAAGUCUGUCGUGAAAUCCCCGGGCUCAACCUGGGAAUGGCGAUGGAUACUGGGCAGCUAGAGUGUGUCAGAGGAUGGUGGAAUUCCCGGUGUAGCGGUGAAAUGCGUAGAGUUCGGGAGGAACAUCAGUGGCGAAGGCGGCCAUCUGGGACAACACUGACGCUGAAGCACGAAAGCGUGGGGAGCAAACAGG
rnacentral:rRNA from 1 species